rnacentral:rRNA from 1 species
GAGUUUGAUCCUGGCUCAGAACGAACGCUGGCGGCAGGCUUAACACAUGCAAGUCGAGCGAGGACUUCGGUUCUAGCGGCGGACGGGUGAGUAACGCGUGGGAACGUGCCCUUUUCUACGGAAUAGCCUCGGGAAACUGAGAGUAAUACCGUAUACGCCCUUUUGGGGAAAGAUUUAUCGGAGAAGGAUCGGCCCGCGUUGGAUUAGGUAGUUGGUGGGGUAAUGGCCUACCAAGCCGACGAUCCAUAGCUGGUUUGAGAGGAUGAUCAGCCACACUGGGACUGAGACACGGCCCAGACUCCUACGGGAGGCAGCAGUGGGGAAUCUUAGACAAUGGGGGCAACCCUGAUCUAGCCAUGCCGCGUGAGUGAUGAAGGCCUUAGGGUUGUAAAGCUCUUUCAGCUGGGAAGAUAAUGACGGUACCAGCAGAAGAAGCCCCGGCUAACUCCGUGCCAGCAGCCGCGGUAAUACGGAGGGGGCUAGCGUUGUUCGGAAUUACUGGGCGUAAAGCGCACGUAGGCGGACCGGAAAGUUGGGGGUGAAAUCCCGGGGCUCAACCUCGGAACUGCCUUCAAAACUAUCGGUCUGGAGUUCGAGAGAGGUGAGUGGAAUUCCGAGUGUAGAGGUGAAAUUCGUAGAUAUUCGGAGGAACACCAGUGGCGAAGGCGGCUCACGGCUCGAUACNGACGCNNA